GAUGAACGCUGGCGGCGUGCCUAAUACAUGCCAGUCGAGCGAACAGACGAGGAGCUUGCUCCUCUGACGUUAGCGGCGGACGGGUGAGUAACACGUGGAUAACCUACCUAUAAGACUGGGAUAACUUCGGGAAACCGGAGCUAAUACCGGAUAAUAUAUUGAACCGCAUGGUUCAAUAGUGAAAGACGGUUUUGCUGUCACUUAUAGAUGGAUCCGCGCCGCAUUAGCUAGUUGGUAAGGUAACGGCUUACCAAGGCAACGAUGCGUAGCCGACCUGAGAGGGUGAUCGGCCACACUGGAACUGAGACACGGUCCAGACUCCUACGGGAGGCAGCAGUAGGGAAUCUUCCGCAAUGGGCGAAAGCCUGACGGAGCAACGCCGCGUGAGUGAUGAAGGUCUUCGGAUCGUAAAACUCUGUUAUUAGGGAAGAACAAAUGUGUAAGUAACUAUGCACGUCUUGACGGUACCUAAUCAGAAAGCCACGGCUAACUACGUG
rnacentral:rRNA from 1 species